GAUGAACGCUAGCGGCAGGCUUAACACAUGCAAGUCGAGGGGUAUAGUUCUUCGGAGCUAGAGACCGGCGCACGGGUGCGUAACGCGUAUGCAAUCUACCUUUUGCAGAGGGAUAGCCCAGAGAAAUUUGGAUUAAUACCUCAUGGUAUGCGAGAAUGGCAUCAUUUUCACAUUCAAGUCACAACGGCAAAAGAUGAGCAUGCGUCCCAUUAGCUAGUUGGUAAGGUAACGGCUUACCAAGGCAACGAUAGGUAGGGGUCCUGAGAGGGAGAACCCCAACACUGGUACGGAGACACGGACAAGACUCCUACGGGAGGCAGCAGUGAGGAAUAUUGGACAAUGGGCGCAAGCCUGAUCCAGCCAUGCCGCGUGCAGGAUGACGGUCCUAUGGAUUGUAAACUGCUUUUGUACAGGAAGAAACACUGGUUCGUGAACCAGCUUGACGGUACUGUAAGAAUAAGGAUCGGCUAACUCCGUGCCAGCCGCCGCGGUAACAC
rnacentral:rRNA from 1 species